rfam:Fusobacterium mortiferum ATCC 9817 genomic scaffold supercont2.3, whole genome shotgun sequence.
CUGUGGGGUAGAGGCGCAAAAUGUUAACAGUCUUUAGUGGAGCUAGAGAGAGCGAAGAAACUAUUGAGAAGGAGCUUUUGCCGAAGUUUGUAAUAUAUCUCAAUAUUACUUGCUGGGUCUAUGGUUAAGAGCCAUAGGACUGUCUUAAUAAACUUCCCUAGUUUAUUAAGUUGUGCUAUCUCAAGU